ACAGCAAAAAGAAAAGGAAAAAAAAAAAAACGGAGAAAAAGAUUCGACGCUGCGACCA
rnacentral:tRNA from 1 species